rnacentral:rRNA from 1 species
ACGCUGGCGGCACGCCUAACACAUGCAAGUCGAACGAAGUAGCAAUACUUAGUGGCAGACGGGUGAGUAACAUGUAGGUAUCUGCCCUUUGGCCUGGAAUAACACGAGGAAACUUGUGCUAAUACCGGAUAAGUCUUUACGGAGAAAGCUUUAUGCACCAUUGGAUGAGCCUGCACUUGAUUAGUUUGUUGGUGGGGUAAUGGCCUACCAAGACUGUGAUCAAUAGCUGAUUUGAGAGGAUGAUCAGCCACAUUGGGACUGAGACACGGCCCAAACUCCUACGGGAGGCAGCAGUGGGGAAUCUUGCACAAUGGAGGAAACUCUGAUGCAGCGAUGCCGCGUGAGUGAAGAAGGCCUUUGGGUUGUAAAGCUCUUUCGUCGGGGAAGAAAAUGACUGUACCCGAAUAAGAAGGUCCGGCUAACUUCGUGCCAGCAGCCGCGGUAAUACGAAGGGACCUAGCGUAGUUCGGAAUUACUGGGCUUAAAGAGUUCGUAGGUGGUUGAAAAAGUUAGUGGUGAAAUCCCAGAGCUUAACUCUGGAACUGCCAUUAAAACUUUUCAGCUAGAGUAUGAUAGAGGAAAGCAGAAUUUCUAGUGUAGAGGUGAAAUUCGUAGAUAUUAGAAAGAAUACCAAUUGCGAAAGGCAGCUUUCUGGAUCAUUACUGACACUGAGGAACGAAAGCAUGGGUAGCGAAGAGGAUUAGAUACCCUCGUAGUCCAUGCCGUAAACGAUGUGUGUUAGACGUUGGAAAUUUAUUUUCAGUGUCGCAGGGAAACCGAUAAACACACCGCCUGGGGAGUACGACCGCAAGGUUAAAACUCAAAUGAAUUGACGGGGACCCGCACAAGUAGUGGAGCAUGUGGUUUAAUUCGAAGAUACGCGCAGAACCUUACCAACACUUGACAUGUUCGUCGCGACUCUAAGAGAUUAGAGUUUUCGGUUCGGCCGGACGAAACACAGGUGCUGCAUGGCUGUCGUCAGCUCGUGUCGUGAGAUGUUGGGUUAAGUCCCGCAACGAGCGCAACCCUCACUUUUAGUUGCCAUCAUUAAGUUGGGCACUCUGAAAGAACUGCCAGUGAUAAGCUGGAGGAAGGUGGGGAUGACGUCAAGUCCUCAUGGCCCUUACGUGUUGGGCUACACACGUGCUACAAUGGUAUCUACAACAGGAAGCAAGACUGCGAAGUUAAGCAAAUCCCUAAAAGAUACCUCAGUUCGGAUUGCACUCUGCAACUCGAGUGCAUGAAGCUGGAAUUACUAGUAAUCGUGGAUCAGCGUGCCACGGUGAAUGCGUUCCCGGGUCUUGUACUCACCGCCC